rnacentral:lncRNA from 1 species
CUUGAAUUUUGCCUUAUUUCCAAUACUGCAUCAUUCAUUAUUCUGGUAUUGUCUUUUAGGCUACACUUGGGAAAACCAUCAUAUUGAAAGACAUUGUCAAAGUUCAAGAAGAAAUGAAAGGUUUCAGACGUUCAUCCUGAGAGGAAACAGUACAAGUAACAUUUGAUCUAAUACCAGAUCCUCGACUCUGGACCCAUAUUUUACGAUAAUUUUGGGGAUUAUGAUUACGUCAUUCCUACCUCCUGUGAUCAAUCAGUAAACACAUCUAAUGCCUGCAGCUGGCAAAAGAAAGGUUGAUGGCAUUUCAGUUCCCGGCCUUGGUGUCUUUGGAAGAGACCAUGAAGGAGAGGGAAGAAGAAGCAGGAAAAAGGUCCCAUGGAUGGAUGGAUUGGGGAGCAUGGCCAGGAGGGCAAGCCUGAGAGUAUGAGCAGCCUGGGCAGAAUAUGGCAAGUGAGCCGGGAGUGGUGGCACUCACCUUUAAUCCGAACACUUGAGAAGUAGAGGCAGGCGGAUUUCUGAGUUCUUGACCAGCUUUGUCUACAAUGUGAGUUCCAGGACAGCCAGGGCUAUACAGAGAAACCCUGUCUCAAAAAAAAAAAAAAAAAGAAAAAAGAAAAGAAUAUGGUGAGUGAUAUCUCACAGUUCUUAGUAAAGAAGUAGAGAAAUUAGCAUAGAGGAAAGGUAUGUGCCCC